CCUACGGGUGGCUGCAGUGAGGAAUAUUGGUCAAUGGACGAGAGUCUGAACCAGCCAAGUAGCGUGAAGGAUGACUGCCCUAUGGGUUGUAAACUACUUUUAUCUGGGAAUAAAAUGUUCCACGUGUGGGAUUUUGUAUGUACCAUAUGAAUAAGGAUCGGCUAACUCCUUGACAGCAGCCGGGGUAAUACGGAGUAACAGAGCGUUAUCCGGAUUGAUUGGGUUUAAAGGGAGCUUAGGUGGAUUGUUAAGUCAGUUGUGAAAGUUUGCGGCUCAACCGUAAAAUUGCAGUUGAAACUGGCAGUCUUGAGUACAGUAGAGGUGGGCGGAAUUCGUGGUGUAGCGGUGAAAUGCUUAGAUAUCACGAAGAACUCCGAUUGCGAAGGCAGCUCACUGGACUGCAACUGACACUGAGGCUCGAAAGUGUGAGUAUCAAACAGGAUUAGAUACCCCUGUAGUC
rnacentral:rRNA from 1 species